GAUGAACGCUAGCGGGAGGCCUAACACAUGCAAGCCGAGCGGUAGAGUUUCUUCGGAAACUUGAGAGCGGCGCACGGGUGCGUAACACGUGUGCAACCUACCUUUAUCUGGGGGAUAGCCUUUCGAAAGGAAGAUUAAUACCCCAUAAUAUAAUGAUUGGCAUCAAUUAUUAUUGAAAACUCCGGUGGAUAGAGAUGGGCACGCGCAAGAUUAGAUAGUUGGUGAGGUAACGGCUCACCAAGUCAAUGAUCUUUAGGGGUCCUGAGAGGGAGAUCCCCCACACUGGUACUGAGACACGGACCAGACUGCUACGGGAGGCAGCAGUGAGGAAGAUUGGACAAUGGGUGAGAGCCUGAUCCAGCCAUCCCGCGUGAAGGAUGACGGCCCUAUGGAUUGUAAACUUCUUUUGGACAGGGAUAAACCUACCCUCGGGAGGGUAGCUGAAGGUACUGGACGAAUAAGCACCGGCUAACUCCGUG
rnacentral:rRNA from 1 species